rnacentral:misc_RNA from 1 species
UAUGGAUAUUGCUGUCCGUGCUCACCUCUGUGGAUGGAAGUUUAUCUAUGUGAAUGACGUUAAGUGCCUCUGUGAACUACCAGAAUCAUACGAGACAUAUAAGAAGCAGCAACACCGGUGGCAUUCUGGUCCAAUGCAACUUUUUCGCCUGUGUUUCUCUGACAUAUUGCGUUCCAAGGUUAGCUGGCUCAAGAAAGCCAACCUGAUAUUUCUAUUUUUCCUCUUGCGGAAGCUCAUCCUACCAUUUUAUUCAUUCACUCUCUUUUGUAUCAUCCUCCCACUCACCAUGUUCCUCCCAGAAGCCCAGUUACCAGCUUGGGUCGUCUGCUAUGUGCCUGGACUUAUGUCAGUCCUCAAUAUUCUUCCAGCUCCACAGUCAUUCCCUUUUAUUGUGCCCUAUCUUCUAUUUGAAAACACAAUGUCUG